rnacentral:lncRNA from 1 species
CACUCAGCACCUAGCCAGCGUUGGAAAACCCAGCCAAAAUUUAAAAGAAGCCCCACCAAAACCUGCCAAAUAGCAUUUUGCCCCAUCCAGCCCACUCACCGGAAAUCCCACCUACCUACCAAUAGCAGCUUGCCCCAUCCCCAUCCUGUUUCUCCACAGCCAAUCAAAACACCUUCUCUCCCUAUAAAACCCCAAGCCUGAGAGAAGUCAGACACGACUUCCCUGGCCCCUUUCCCCGGGACCAUGGAACCUUGUCUGGGAGUUAAAUGAAUUGGCAUUUAAUUUUCUUGUGCUGGCCUCAGUUUCCUCAUUUUAAACUUGGCAAUAAACCUUACAGAAAAUAAACCUUACAAGUGGUGCCAAAACCCUGGAGGAGUUAUAAGACCCCUACCAGGGGAGACUGACUCCACUCGAAGCUGGACCAGGGAACAGCUCCAGCGCAAGGGAGCACGCAGACCGCACCCUCUUAGUUGUUCCAGGACCAGAGGACUUCCACCCAGCGACACCUCUGCAACCAGGUGACAGCUUUCUUCUCUGAGAACUCAAAGCAGGAUCCUUGCAACCCAGGUGGUCAGGACCCCACAUUGUUAUCCUAAUCACCCCCACAGCAGCCAAACUCCUAGGCCACACUCCAUGGUACCAUGUGUUCCUCAAACUGGCCCCCCUAAAUAAAUCAGUGGAAAUCUGAACUCUUGGGCCCCACUUGCCUCUGCCUCACCCAUAACCCCUACCCAUCAACUCCUAACCCUUCAAAUUCUCCUCCUAACAAUUCUUCUGGUAUCCCCUCUUAAAGCCAACUCCUACUAUGUCUGGUGGUUCUACCUUCAGGAGUCCUGGACGGAAGUCCCCACCACUAAAACCCAAUACCUUGCGCAAGCAGAUUGACAGCCUGCAGGCUGCCAAUCAGCCAUAAAAUU